AUUGAACGCUGGCGGCAGGCCUAACACAUGCAAGUCGAGCGCGCGGCGGACGGGGGAGUAAUGUGUGGGAAACUGCGUGAUGGGGGGGGAUAACUACUGGAAACGGUAUCUCAUACCGCAUACCAUCAGAUGUGCCCCGGUGGGAUUAGCUCGUAGGUGGGGUAACGGCUCACCUAGGCGACGAUCCCUAUCUGGUCUGAGAGGAUGAGCAGCCACACUGGAACUGAGACACGGUCCAGACUCCUACGGGAGGCAGCAGUGGGGAAUAUUGCACAAUGGGCGCAAGCCUGAUGCAGCCAUGCCGCGUGUGUGAAGAAGGGCUUCGGGUUGUAAAGCACUUUCAGCGGGGAGGCGUUACCCGCAGAAGAAGCACCGGCUAACUCCGUGCCAGCAGCCGCGGUAAUAC
rnacentral:rRNA from 1 species